rnacentral:tRNA from 1 species
UGCGGAAUGUCAGAAGUUGGUUAUCUGGACGGCCUCAUGAGCCGUUGCCUUUGGCCUCGCGGGUUCGAGUCCCGCUUCCGCAACAA